rnacentral:rRNA from 1 species
UACGUAGGGUGCGAGCGUUGUCCGGAAUUACUGGGCGUAAAGAGCUCGUAGGUGGUUUGUCGCGUUGUUCGUGAAAUCUCACGGCUUAACUGUGAGCGUGCGGGCGAUACGGGCAGACUGGAGUACUGCAGGGGAGACUGGAAUUCCUGGUGUAGCGGUGGAAUGCGCAGAUAUCAGGAGGAACACCGGUGGCGAAGGCGGGUCUCUGGGCAGUAACUGACGCUGAGGAGCGAAAGCGUGGGAGCAAACAGG